rnacentral:rRNA from 1 species
AAAACUUUCAGCAACGGAUCUCUUGGUUCUCGCAUCGAUGAAGAACGCAGCGAAUCGCGAUAAGUAGUGUGAAUUGCAGGUUUUGUGAAUCAUCGAGUUUUUGAACGCAUAUUGCGCCCUUUGGUAUUCCGAAGGGCAUGCCUGUUUGAGCGUCAGU